UACAAAUUAUCUAAACUCUAGUGAUUACAAGAAUAUUCAUGUUCUCAAUCGUGCCCAACUUAUAGAUGAUGCAUUUAAUUUAGUGAUAGCAGGCCAUCUCCAUUCCUCUAUAUUCUGGAACAUCAUAUCGUAUUUGCAUCAAGAAGAAGAUUAUAUAGCAUGGUAUCCUUUGUUUAAAGCUCUGGAAUAUAUAUGUAGUACUUUUUCAGUGGUGAAAGAAGAAAUUGCAAUUUUUGCGUCGAGAGUAAGGCACAUAUUACACAAGCUACUUGAAAGAAUCAAAUAUGAAGAAAUUGAUGAUAUAGACAAACUUAGAAUAAAUAGUUUACGACAAGAAGCUGCAAGAUGGGCAUGUUUUCUCGGUGACAUCACUUGUAAGAAAGAAGCCAACAAUACAUUAAUACAAUAUAUCAAAGAUACUGAAACAACAGACUUUUGCCAUGGUGGAAG